GAACUUAAGAGUUUGAUCCUGGCUCAGGACGAACGCUGGCGGUAUGCUUAAGACAUGCAAGUCGAACGGAGUUAAUGUUUUCGGAUGUUAACUUAGUGGCGGACGGGUGAGUAAUGUAUGAGCAACCUGCCCCUAACAACGGGAUAACACUUAGAAAUAGGUGCUAAUACGGUAUAAGACCACGCUGUCGCAUGACGGUGAGGUAAAAGCGAUUUAGCGGUUAGGGAUGGGCUCAUAUCCCAUUAGCUAGUUGGUAAGAUAACAGCCUACCAAGGCAACGAUGGGUAGCCGACUUGAGAGAGUGAUCGGCCACAUUGGGACUGAAACACGGCCCAGACUCCUACGGGAGGCAGCAGUCGGGAAUAUUGGGCAAUGGAGGAAACUCUGACCCAGCAAUACCGCGUGAGCGAUGAAGGUAAUUUUAUUGUAAAGCUCUUUUCUCAGGGACGAAACAAAUGACUGUACCUGUGGAAUAAGCCCCGGCUAACUACGUGCCAGCAGCCGCGGUAAUACGUAGGGGGCGAGCGUUGUCCGGAAUUACUGGGCGUAAAGGGUGUGUAGGCGGUUUGAUAAGUUAGAAGUGUAAUACCCAGGGCUCAACUCGGGUGCUGCUUCUAAAACUGUCAGACUUGAGUGCAGGAGAGGUAAGUGGAAUU
rnacentral:ncRNA from 1 species